CCGAAAAUAUUGGACAAUGGGGGAAACCCUGAUCCAGCGACAUUGCGUGUAGGAUGAAGUUCUUCGGAUCGUAAACUACUUUUCUAGGGGAAGAAGUUAUUGACGGUACUCUAGGAAUAAGCGGGGGCUAAUUCUGUGCCAGCAGCAGCGGUAAUACAGAACCCGCAAGCGUUAUCCGGAUUUAUUGGGCGUAAAGUGUUCGUAGGCUGCAUGGAAAGUCUGGCUUUAAAUACCUCGAGCUUAACUCGGGGGAUGAACCGGAAACUUCCAAGCUAGAAGAUGCUAGGGGCUAUCGGAACGCACGGUGUAGGGGUGAAAUCCGUUGAUAUCGUGCGGAACACCAAAAGCGAAGGCAGAUAGCUGGGGCAAUCUUGACGCUGAGGAACGAAAGCGUGGGGAGCAAAAAGG
rnacentral:rRNA from 1 species